rnacentral:ncRNA from 1 species
AUUAUCUACCGCGGGAGCUCGGGCGGAACCGGGCUGAGAGGGCGGAACCAGGCAGAGGGGCAUGUGGCCCCUCCGACGCGCCGCCGACCGCAUGAACCUGUCCGGGUAAUGCCGGCGUAGGGAGCGUUUCAUGACGUCUGA